UUCACUGAAAAAGGGGUGAGAGGUUGCCAUCAUGUGAAACUGGCCCCAGAGAGGAUGGAUGGAGGAGGAAGCCUUACCAUGAUCACUAGUGGGAAUGGGGGGAACCCAAGCACCCCCAAUAGCUAACCCUCUAAUUAUGGAGGGUAGAGAAAGGGAAAACGGGAGGGGAAAAUUGCUUAAAGAAUAACCUAUAAUGAGGUUUGAUUACAGCUGCAGUUUCGGUAUUUUACUCCCUCAAAUCCCCGCCGGCUCUUUGAAAUUCAAGAGUUUUCUUAUGUGAACAUCAAAAGAGCCAUCUGGGCCCAGGGGCCAGACAGAGAUAAAGGAUGGAGAUGGCCCUGGAUGGAGACCCUGACCUUUUUUGCCUUAGCAAAUAGCCAUUUGUCGGGAUUUUUCUCCUUCUUCAGGUGAAGGAGGACAAAUGUCCAUCCUUCCUGAACUGUAAGAAAAAAUCAGCACAGAGGGCUUUGCAUGGAGGCAGUACAAGAAAGAAGCCUGUGUUUCUCCUUCCCCCUCACGGCCCAGAUUUGGGGGAAUUAUCUCGGAACAUAGGCCCAAAAGUAAAGAAGAACUAGAAUUGGAAAUGGAAAACAUCAAGACUGAAAGGCAGUGGGAAAAUCUUCAAAGCUCAAAUCCAUAAGGCUAGCUGCACUCUGACAGUAUCCUUUUUUAUGGGAAUCUAAAAGAUUAAUCAAACAGCUAGAUAUAUUAAUGGCACAGAGGAAGAAGGAGAAGGCUGCCAGCCUUGUGAUCUGACAUCUGCAUGCUGAACAUCAGAGAAUCAUAGGAUUGAGAGCCCAGGGGGAGCUCAGAGAUCAUCUGCCUCAACUCCAUGAUUUUACAGAUGAGGAAACUGAGGCCCCAAAGCAUGUUUUCAGUUCAUUAAAAAUUCAAUGGCCUUUCCUAUGGAGAAAAAAAAAAAGGAGUUAAAAAAAAUCCAAACAGCCCUCCAGAAGCAUUCAGGAAGAAAACACAGCUGUAUUUAAAACCAGACUCCCAGGACCAUGUGCCCUGAUUGGCAAAGCAGUUCAUGAAUAAUUCAGGUUCUUCUGAUCUGUUUUUGCUUUUUCUUUUUUUUAUUUUUAAGAGAUUCAAGUUAGACUGGGACCAAAAGUACUUCCUGGAUCGUCAAGCUCUAGAGAGGAAAAAAAUCAAAGACUUAGUAUCUGUCAUACUCAUAUACAUGCAGUGACUUUUUUUCACAUCUCCUGUUACAGAGAAUCAUGUUAUUGAUGGUCUCCAGCUUGAAAAUCUCCCCAGCUAUUGCUAAUAAAGACUCCCUUCCCUGCCUCCUACCCCCAACUUCCACUCCGUGCACGAGAAUCUAUAAUAUCUUUCCUAUAGUCACUUCCCAUGUGAAAUGACUCUGACUAUUAAUUAUUACAGUAACGAGUAAAUACAUCCUCCGUUACUCACAUCCAGAAUGUAACAAAUACCUCUAAGUCAGAAAGAACAUCAUGUCAAAGGGGAACUCCUGCAUGUGAACCUGCAGCAGAGGCCAAUUCUUCAUUU